UAAUAAGUCGAUUUGAUAAACAAACACUUAUUUUAAUAUUUUUUUCAAACUAAUUUCUCGGCACAUGCAUCGUAUGGGUAUGAACCUUUUGUUCUAAAAUGUAUAAAUAAGUAGUAAGAAGCAAGACCUUUAUGUGGGGUUUUCUAUCUUUCAUGUUGAAAUGGUGAGGCCUAUGAUGCCUACGAGUACUAGUGUUGUACUCAUACUACACUUGCUCCAUCUUUUUGGGUGCAAAUACUGCUCCGUGUUCUAGUUCUGGGCCUCGCAUUUGAUCCCGAGACAGUUAAUUUGGAGUUUUCAGGGUGAGCCAUCAGAUUCUAUCAGCAACCCUGGAUCCCCAUCUAUCUCAUUUCUGUCUUUACAUUCCUUCAUGACAGUGGUUAUUUUCCAUUAUUCAAUAGUUUUAAUAAAUAUGUUAGAUGCUCUUAUACAAGUUUAGACCAGGUUUUGGGAAUUGUAAUACUUAAGUAUCUUCCGCAGUUAUUAGUAUUUAUAAGAUUGUUAAGAAGUACUUAUUUGUGUUUAA